GACGAACGCUGGCGGCGUGCCUAAUACAUGCAAGUAGAACGCUGAAGAGAGGAGCUUGCUCUUCUUGGAUGAGUUGCGAACGGGUGAGUAACGCGUAGGUAACCUGCCUUGUAGCGGGGGAUAACUAUUGGAAACGAUAGCUAAUACCGCAUAACAAUGGAUGACACAUGUCAUUUAUUUGAAAGGGGCAAUUGCUCCACUACAAGAUGGACCUGCGUUGUAUUAGCUAGUAGGUGAGGUAAUGGCUCACCUAGGCGACGAUACAUAGCCGACCUGAGAGGGUGAUCGGCCACACUGGGACUGAGACACGGCCCAGACUCCUACGGGAGGCAGCAGUAGGGAAUCUUCGGCAAUGGGGGCAACCCUGACCGAGCAACGCCGCGUGAGUGAAGAAGGUUUUCGGAUCGUAAAGCUCUGUUGUAAGUCAAGAACGGGUGUGAGAGUGGAAAGUUCACACUGUGACGGUAGCUUACCAGAAAGGGACGGCUAACUACGUGCCAGCAGCCGCGGUAAUACGUAGGUCCCGAGCGUUGUCCGGAUUUAUUGGGCGUAAAGCGAGCGCAGGCGGUUUGAUAAGUCUGAAGUUAAAGGCUGUGGCUCAACCAUAGUUCGCUUUGGAAACUGUCAAACUUGAGUGCAGAAGGGGAGAGUGGAAUUCCAUGUGUAGCGGUGAAAUGCGUAGAUAUAUGGAGGAACACCGGUGGCGAAAGCGGCUCUCUGGUCUGUAACUGACGCUGAGGCUCGAAAGCGUGGGGAGCGAACAGGAUUAGAUACCCUGGUAGUCCACGCCGUAAACGAUGAGUGCUAGGUGUUGGAUCCUUUCCGGGAUUCAGUGCCGCAGCUAACGCAUUAAGCACUCCGCCUGGGGAGUACGACCGCAAGGUUGAAACUCAAAGGAAUUGACGGGGGCCCGCACAAGCGGUGGAGCAUGUGGUUUAAUUCGAAGCAACGCGAAGAACCUUACCAGGUCUUGACAUCCCGAUGCUAUUUCUAGAGAUAGAAAGUUACUUCGGUACAUCGGUGACAGGUGGUGCAUGGUUGUCGUCAGCUCGUGUCGUGAGAUGUUGGGUUAAGUCCCGCAACGAGCGCAACCCCUAUUGUUAGUUGCCAGCAUUCAGUUGGGCACUCUAGCGAGACUGCCGGUGACAAACCGGAGGAAGGCGGGGACGACGUCAGAUCAUCAUGCCCCUUAUGACCUGGGCUACACACGUGCUACAAUGGCGUAUACAACGAGUUGCCAACCCGCGAGGGUGAGCUAAUCUCUUAAAGUACGUCUCAGUUCGGACUGCAGUCUGCAACUCGACUGCACGAAGUCGGAAUCGCUAGUAAUCGCGGAUCAGCACGCCGCGGUGAAUACGUUCCCGGGUCUUGUACACACCGCCCGUCACACCAUGGGAGUUUGUAAUGCCCAAAGCCGGUGGCCUAACCUUAUGGAGGGAGCCGUCUAAGGCAGGACAGAUGACUAGGGUGAAG
rnacentral:rRNA from 1 species